rfam:Triticum aestivum genome assembly, contig: Triticum_aestivum_CS42_TGACv1_scaffold_577687_7BL
CAUAUACUCCCUCCGUUUCAAAUUACUUGCCGCUGAAAUAGAUGUAUCUAGAAUUAAAAUACAUCUAGAUACAUCCAUACGUGCGACAAGUAAUUCGGAACGGAGGGAGUAGGUC